rnacentral:misc_RNA from 1 species
AAACUCUUCAAGCCUCGCUUGGUAUUGGGUGCCGGGACCUUCCCGCGCCUCGAUUUCGCCGGCUGACCUACUCCAACAACUCCAGCGUAGUAGUAUAAACCUUCGCUAGAGUGAUGGGGUGGCAGGGCCGUUCAAACCAUUAACAA